UACGGGGGGAGCAAGCGUUGUUCGGAUUUACUGGGCGUAAAGGGCGCGUAAGCGGCAAUUCAAGUCAGUUGUGAAAUCUCUGAGCUUAACUCAGAACGGCCAAGUGAUACUGCUGUGCUAGAGUGCAGAAGGGCAAUCGGAAUUCCGGGUGUAGUGGUGAAAUGCGUAGAGAUCCGGAGGAACACCAGUGGCGAAGGCGACACGCUGGGCCGUACCUGACACUGAUACGCGACAGCAUGGGGAGCGAACGGG
rnacentral:rRNA from 1 species